ensembl:lncRNA
AAUACAAUAGCAUUCAACAUCCCUGUGGUGGGAAGAACAUCUCAACAGCCCAACACUGUGGCAUUUAAUUUCAAAAGGGGGAACUAUGCAAAAAUGAGGGGGUUAGUUAAACAGAAGUUAAAAAGUACAGUGACUAAAGUGAAAUCCCUGCAAGCUGCAUGGGCGCUUUUUAAAGACACCAUAAUAAAGGCCCAACUUCAAUGUAUACCCCAAAUUAAGAAACACAGUAAAAGAACUAAAAAAGAGCCACCGUGGCUUAACAACCAUGUAAAAGAAGCAGUGAGAGAUAAAAAGACUUCCUUUAAAAAGUGGAAGUCAAAUCCUAGUGAGGCAAAUAGAAAGGAGCAUAAACGCUGCCAAAUUAAGUGCAAGAAUGUAAUAAGAAAAGGCAAAGAGGAGUUUGAAGAACGGCUAGACAAAAACUCCAAAGGUAAUAACAAAAUGUUUUUUAAGUACAUCAGAAGCAGGAAGCCUGCUAAACAACCAGUGGGGCCCCUUGAUGAUCGAGAUACAAAAGGAGCGCUUAAAGACGAUAAAGUCAUUGCGGAGAAACUAAAUGGAUUCUUUGCUUCAGUCUUCACGACUGAGGAUGUUAGGGAGAUUCCCAAACCUGAGCCGACUUUUGUAGGUGACAAAUCUGAGGAACUGUCACAGAUUGAAGUGUCACUAGAGGAGGUUUUGGAAUUAAUUGAUAAACUUAACAUUAACAAGUCACCGGGACCAGAUGGCAUUCACCCAAGAGUUCUGAAAGAACUCAAAUGUGAAGUUGCGGAACUGUUAACUAAGGUUUGUAACCUGUCCUUUAAAUCGGCUUCUGUACCCAAUGACUGGAAGUUAGCUAAUGUAACGCCAAUAUUUAAAAAGGGCUCUAGAGGUGAUCCCAGCAAUUACAGACCGGUAAAUCUAACGUCGGUACUGGGCAAAUUAGUCGAAACAAUAGUUAAGAAUAAAAUUGUCAGACACAUAGAAAAACAAACUGUUGAGCAAUAGUCAACAUGGCUUCUGUAAAGGGAAAUCGUGUCUUACUAAUCUAUUAGAGUUCUUUGAAGGGGUCAACAAACAUGUGGACAAGGGGGAUCCAGUGGACAUAGUGUACUUAGAUUUCCAGAAAGCCUUUGACAAGGUCCCUCAGCAAAGGCUCUUAAGUAAAGUAAGUGGUCAUGGGAUAAAAGGGAAGGUCCUUUCAUGGAUUGAGAACUGGUUAAAAGACCGGGAACAAAGGGUAGGAAUUAAUGGUAAAUUCUCAGAAUG